rnacentral:rRNA from 1 species
AGUGAACGCUGGCGGUGGGCCUAACACAUGCAAGUCGAACGGCAGCACAGUAAGAGCUUGCUCUUACGGGUGGCGAGUGGCGGACGGGUGAGGCAUACAUCGGAAUCUACUUUUUCGUGGGGGAUAACGUAGGGAAACUUACGCUAAUACCGCAUACGACCUACGGGUGAAAGCAGGGGAUCUUCGGACCUUGCGCGAUUGAAUGAGCCGAUGUCGGAUUAGCUAGUUGGCGGGGUAAAGGCCCACCAAGGCGACGAUCCGUAGCUGGUCUGAGAGGAUGAUCAGCCACACUGGAACUGAGACACGGUCCAGACUCCUACGGGAGGCAGCAGUGGGGAAUAUUGGACAAUGGGCGCAAGCCUGAUCCAGCCAUACCGCGUGGGUGAAGAAGGCCUUCGGGUUGUAAAGCCCUUUUGUUGGGAAAGAAAAGCAGCAGGUUAAUACCCCGCUGUUCUGACGGUACCCAAAGAAUAAGCACCGGCUAACUUCGUG